rnacentral:sRNA from 1 species
CACUCUCUCUUCUCUCUCUC